AUUGAACGCUGGCGGCAGGCCUAACACAUGCAAGUCGAACGAGUGGCGGACGGGUGAGUAAUGUCUGGGAAACUGCCUGAUGGAGGGGGAUCACUACUGGAAACGGUCGCUAAUAACGCAAACCAUCAGAUGUGCACAGAUGGGAUUAGAUAGUUGGGGGGGGAACGGCUCACCAAGGCGACGCUCCCUAGCUGGUCUUCGAGGAUGACCAGACACACUGGAACUGAGACACGGUCCAGACUCCUACGGUAGGCAGCAGUGGGGAAUAUUGCACAAUGGGCGCAAGCCUGAUGCAGCCAUGCCGCGUGUAUGAAGAAGGCCGUCGGGUUGUAAAGUACUUUCAGCGGGGAGGCGUUACCCGCAGAAGAAGCACCGGCUAACUCCGUGCCAGCAGCCGCGGUAAUUC
rnacentral:rRNA from 1 species